GAUGAACGCUAGCUACAGGCUUAACACAUGCAAGUCGAGGGGCAGCGGUAUCGAAAGCUUGCUUUCGGUAGCCGGCGACCGGCGCACGGGUGAGUAACGCGUAUCGAACCUGCCUCAUACUCGGGAAUAGCCUUGCGAAAGUAAGAUUAAUGCCCGGUGUUUUCAGAGUCCCGCAUGAGGCUUUGAACAAAGAUUUAUCGGUAUGAGAUGGCGAUGCGUCCCAUUAGCUUGUUGGCGGGGUAACGGCCCACCAAGGCAUCGAUGGGUAGGGGUUCUGAGAGGAAGGUCCCCAAGAUUGGAACUGAGACACGGUCCAAACUCCUACGGGAGGCAGCAGUGAGGAAUAUUGGUCAAUGGGCGGAAGCCUGAACCAGCCAAGUAGAGGGCAGGAAGACGGCCCUCCGGGUUGUAAACUGCUUUUAGUUGGGAAUAAAACGGGGCUCGUGAGCCCCCUUGCAUGUACCAUAAGAAAAAGGACCGGCUAAUUCCGUG
rnacentral:rRNA from 1 species